AAUCAACGCUGGCGGCGUGCCUAACACAUGCAAGUCGAGCGAGAAAAGGGGAGCAAUCCCCUGAGUAAAGCGGCGCACGGGUGAGUAACACGUGGGUAAUCUGCCCUGGAGUGGGGAAUAACACCGGGAAACCGGUGCUAAUACCGCAUACGAUAGCGAGGUCUGCGGACUUUGCUAUGAAAGGAGCAAUUCGCUCUAGGAGGAGCCCGCGGCUGAUUAGCUAGNGGUGAGGUAAUGGCUCACCAAGGCUUCGAUCAGUAUCCGGUCUGAGAGGACGGUCGGACACACUGGAACUGAGACACGGUCCAGACUCCUACGGGAGGCAGCAGUGGGGAAUUUUGGACAACGGGCGCAAGCCUGAUCCAGCCAUGCCGCGUGAGUGAAGAAGGCCUC
rnacentral:rRNA from 1 species